rnacentral:lncRNA from 1 species
AAAAUACAAAUAAAAAUAAAAGAAUGUGCACAAAAAAAGAAGUUUGAGGUUUUAAAAUUAUAAAGAAGAAAUAAAAAAAAGUGCAAACAAAAAGAUUUAAGAAAAAGCAAGAAAAAAAUAAAAAAUGAAAAUACAAAAUAUAUAAAAUAAAAUUUGAGAAAUAAGAAAAAAAAUAAAAAAUGAAGAGGCAAAAAUAUGAAAUAAAACAAAAAGAAAAAAAUUUAUAGAAAAUUUUAAAACAAA